CAAGAAAAUUACCGAGUGUAGGGUUCCUAGCGAGCCCAACCUCCCACCCGUGUUUACUGUAACCUUAGUUGCUUCGGCGGGCCCGCCUUUAAGGCCGGCCGGGGGCUCAGCCCCCCGGGCCCGCGCCCGCCGGAGACACCACGAACUCUGUCUGAUCUAGUGAAGUCUGAGUUGAUUGUAUCGCAAUCAGUUAAAACUUUCAACAAUGGAUCUCUUGGUUCCGGCAUCGAUGAAGAACGCAGCGAAAUGCGAUAACUAGUGUGAAUUGCAGAAUUCCGUGAAUCAUCGAGUCUUUGAACGCACAUUGCGCCCCCUGGUAUUCCGGGGGGCAUGCCUGUCCGAGCGUCAUUGCUGCCCAUCAAGCACGGCUUGUGUGUUGGGUCGUCGUCCCCUCUGCGGGGGGGACGGGCCCCAAAGGCAGCGGCGGCACCGCGUCCGAUCCUCGAGCGUAUGGGGCUUUGUCACCCGCUCUGUAGGCCCGGCCGGCGCUUGCCGAACGCAAAUCCAAUCAUUCUUCCAGGUUGACCUCGGAUCAGGUAGGGAUACCCGCUGAA
rnacentral:rRNA from 1 species